AACGAACGCUGGCGGCAUGCCUAACACAUGCAAGUCGAACGAUCCCUUCGGGGUUAGUGGCGCACGGGUGCGUAACGCGUGGGAACCUGCCCUUAGGUUCGGAAUAACUCAGGGAAAUUUGAGCUAAUACCGGAUAAUUUCUUCGGACCAAAGAUUUAUCGCCUUUGGAUGGGCCCGCGUUGGAUUAGCUAGUUGGUGGGGUAAAGGCCUACCAAGGCGACGAUCCAUAGCUGGUCUGAGAGGAUGAUCAGCCACACUGGGACUGAGACACGGCCCAGACUCCUACGGGAGGCAGCAGUGGGGAAUAUUGGACAAUGGGCGAAAGCCUGAUCCAGCAAUGCCGCGUGAGUGAUGAAGGCCUUAGGGUUGUAAAGCUCUUUUACCCGGGAUGAUAAUGACAGUACCGGGAGAAUAAGCCCCGGCUAACUCCGUG
rnacentral:rRNA from 1 species